UGGGGAAUCUUGCGCAAUGGGCGAAAGCCUGACGCAGCCAUGCCGCGUGAGUGAUGAAGGCCUUAGGGUUGUAAAACUCUUUCAGCGGGGACGAUAAUGACGGUACCCGCAGAAGAAGCCCCGGCUAACUUCGUGCCAGCAGCCGCGGUAAUACGAAGGGGGCUAGCGUUGCUCGGAAUUACUGGGCGUAAAGGGCGCGUAGGCGGACAGUUCAGUCAGAGGUGAAAUCCCGGGGCUCAACCUCGGAACUGCCUUUGAUACUGGCUGUCUUGAGUACGGGAGAGGUGUGUGGAACUCCGAGUGUAGAGGUGAAAUUCGUAGAUAUUCGGAAGAACACCAGUGGCGAAGGCGACACACUGGCCCGUUACUGACGCUGAGGCGCGAAAGCGUGGGGAGCAAA
rnacentral:rRNA from 1 species